rnacentral:rRNA from 2 species
ACGGCAGCACAGAGGAGCUUGCUCCUUGGGUGGCGAGUGGCGGACGGGUGAGGAAUACAUCGGAAUCUACUCUGUCGUGGGGGAUAACGUAGGGAAACUUACGCUAAUACCGCAUACGACCUACGGGUGAAAGCAGGGGAUCUUCGGACCUUGCGCGAUUGAAUGAGCCGAUGUCGGAUUAGCUAGUUGGCGGGGUAAAGGCCCACCAAGGCGACGAUCCGUAGCUGGUCUGAGAGGAUGAUCAGCCACACUGGAACUGAGACACGGUCCAGACUCCUACGGGAGGCAGCAGUGGGGAAUAUUGGACAAUGGGCGCAAGCCUGAUCCAGCCAUACCGCGUGGGUGAAGAAGGCCUUCGGGUUGUAAAGCCCUUUUGUUGGGAAAGAAAUCCAGCUGGCUAAUACCCGGUUGGGAUGACGGUACCCAAAGAAUAAGCACCGGCUAACUUCGUGCCAGCAGCCGCGGUAAUACGAAGGGUGCAAGCGUUACUCGGAAUUACUGGGCGUAAAGCGUGCGUAGGUGGUCGUUUAAGUCCGUUGUGAAAGCCCUGGGCUCAACCUGGGAACUGCAGUGGAUACUGGGCGACUAGAGUGUGGUAGAGGGUAGCGGAAUUCCUGGUGUAGCAGUGAAAUGCGUAGAGAUCAGGAGGAACAUCCAUGGCGAAGGCAGCUACCUGGACCAACACUGACAC